AUUAAAUUAUUCUAAUCUUUGGAGAGAGGGACUAGUUUGUUGAAUUUUGGAUAUAGGGGUGACUGAAAAAGUUUAUAGAUAAUCCAAUAUUAUCCGUAUGAAUAAUAGUAACCCAUAAAAGAAUGCCCCUAAUCCUAAGAAAAGCACAAGAACCCCUAAACACUUACUGGAAGAGGGAAAACCAGGCGGGCGGCCAAACUAGCAUACGAGUGUUUGUGUAAACAUACAGAAAAGAUAUCACACACACUGAGUGAUGCUGCGUCUUCCUUCCCACAAUCAACGCCUCCAUCUCCUCCUCCGCAAUCUCUCCUCUUUUGCAUCCAAAACUACCAUUUUCAAGACCUCCAAACACUUCAUCCCUUCCCAUCUGCUGCCUCAAACCCUUUCUCCUGAACACUUCUCCACCCCCUCUAAACGCCUCCUUCCCUCUCUUUCUUCCAAACCCAUCCCCAAAAACCGUUCUUUCUGGCUCAGGACUAAUGGGUUUUCUUCUCUUACUUCUCCCAGUGUUUCUUCUCCCUCUCCAGGUGCAUUAAAUUGUACUUACUGGAAGGCUUACCAGAAUUCCUUUUUGUUUAUUUCUAAGCUUAUUCUCAAGACUUGGAAGACCAGCCCUCGGAUACGUCUAGCUUACAGAUUCUGAAGCAUAAACUAAAGCAGCUUGGCAUCGAUAUUACUGAGUGUGUUACUGGGCGUGAAAACCACUUAAUGUGUCCCUCGGCCGUUGCAGAUCGCAAGCCAUAGAUUGAAAAUCUUGGUCGAGUUAAUAAAGUUAAGGUCAGAAGGCAAAUCACAGUGGAGAGUUUGCAAUUAGAACCACUUUGUAAUCAGAUCACUUCUAAUUUCGCAGAGCGAAUGAUAUCUGCAGAAACGCUAAAGAGAAAUGCUAUAAUGCAUAAAAAGAGCCGUGAUAAGAUUGUUAUUGCAUUCACUUAUUGGCGUAAAGGAGAACUUGUAAGUUGCAAGUAUCGUGAUGCUAAUAAGCGGUUUUGGCAGGUUUUUGUGAAAUGUUUUUCCCUGUUUAUAUUGUUUAUAUAGUAUGUUCACUUGGAAUUUAAAUUCAUUAUCCCAUAGACAGCCAUAAUGAACAUUGUCGAAACCCGUUUUUUUCAAAAAAAAGGGGUUUCGACAGCUUGGCGACUCCAUUGGGGACUCCGAGAGAGUCAAGCCGUAAAUUGAUUAAUUUAUGUCUUUUCGUUUAAAAUUAAAAAUUUGAUUUAAAAUACGAUUCUUUAAUUGCAUUUUAUCUGUUAUCUUCGUGAUCUUGGUCAUGAUACUUGCUUUGUUGGUUCGAGUCUUUAAAUAUUUUUCCAUAUUGCAUUACAUAAUCGCUCGGUCCUACUCUUUAAGUGGAAGUGAGAAACUAGUCCUUCUUAAGGUUUUCACCUCCGUAUAGGAUAAUAGAUCGCUUCCGGGAUAUAUUUAUACUUAUGUCUUCGUGAGAUUUUUAUCUCCGUAUAGUGAUAAGGACAUGUAUUCCCUUAAACCGAACUCGAUCCAUAUGAGCCUAUAAUGGGUAAGGAUCGAGAAAUCUACUAGUUUAAGUAUUCUGUCUUUUGAACCAAAUAGGUGUUCUGCUUGUUAUUUCUUACUUACUUUAAUUUUAUAUGAAUUGUACUGACAUGUGUUGUUUUGCUUAUGAUUGCAUAACAUUUCAUUAUAAGAAAAGAUGUCGAUUUAAGUUCGAUUACUAAAUAAAGAGCUUGUUAUCUCCCAGAGCUCGGGAGAGAAGCGUUAGUAUCGCGUACAAUAACAAUCAUGAAAAAUGUGUGCACCUAUUUUAUAACUCUAAAAUCUAGAGUUAUUUCUAGCACUUUUUAACAUAUAAAUUAUGUAAAUUCUGGGUUGUUGAUAACACUUUUUUUGGUAGUUUUUAUCUGUUAUAUAAAUUUAAUAUUGUAAAAAUGUGUUAUUUUAAUUAAUUUUAUGCUAAAUACGUUGAGGGAAUAAAUGGACUCAUUGGGAAAAGACAGCAGGAAGUCGAGUGCUGGGUUGAUAUGUUUAUAUCUCUGGAAGCCCCAAAAAUGUUUAUUGGGCUUUGGAAUCCAUUUGGGCUCAACUCUAAAGGAAAAAUAACACCUUGGACAGCCCACUAAGGAGAUGGAGGCACAAACCAUCCACAAGGUGGCCCAAGCCGUCCAUCCAAAGGUAAAAUAGUUCGCAAGACCCUUUCUUCAGUGACGACAACUACCAGUGGAGGGGGACGGCAUCUUCCUCCUCCAAAAAAAAACAAAUUCAUCCACUCUUCUUCCACUACUCAAGGGUCGGCCACACAAGUGAGAUUUUCAAGGGAUUCCCAUGAUAUUAUUAGUAUGGGAUGUUGGGGCUACUCCACUAUAAAUAGGACAUCCAUCCCUCAUUCAUCCCAUAUCUGGAUUUUCUUCCCACUUCUUGAGCACUACACUUGAGAGAAGAAACAUAAGUUUUAGAGAAGCAAAGCAGGAAGGUUUUGAGAGUUGUCAGAAUCCGAAUUGAGAGAAUAUUUUUGCAACGAAGCAAAGGAGGAGCAACACUAAUCAAAGAAGUAGACAAUAUAGGCUUCUAAUUUGUUUCUUCUAUUCUUUUACUUUUGUUCAAGUAUUGCAAUUUAUUCUUUUGCUUUCAAUUCAAUGUUUAUGGCUUAAUUUUGUUGAAGUUAGGUUAAUUGUAUUAAUGUUGUUCUGGGCAUUAUUUUGUUUACCAAUUCAAAUAAAAUCAUGCUCAUAUUUGCUCCUGCAUAA